rnacentral:rRNA from 1 species
GCUUGUCUCAAAGAUUAAGCCAUGCACGUGUAAGUAUAAAAUAACCUAUACUAUUGAAACUGCGAAUGGCUCAUUAUAUCAGUUAUAGUUUACAUGAUAAUAAUUUUCUACUUGGAUACCCGUGGUAAUUCUAGAGCUAAUACAUGCUAAAAAUCCCGACUUCGGAAGGGAUGUAUUUAUUAGAUUAAAAACCAAUGCCCUCUGGGCUCUCUGGUGAUUCAUGAUAACUUCUCGAAUCGCAUGGCCUUGCGCCGGCGAUGGUUCAUUCAAAUUUCUUCCCUAUCAACUUUCGAUGUUUGGGUAGUGGCCAAACAUGGUUGCAACGGGUAACGGAGGGUUAGGGCUCGACCCCGGAGAAGGAGCCUGAGAAACGGCUACUACAUCCAAGGAAGGCAGCAGG